UCGUUGUUGCUAAGAGCUACAUUAGUUUACAUUUUUGCAGAUCAUUGCUGUGGUAUUUUGAAAGAAAAAAUGAAGACAAUGUUUCAAUGCAUAUUGUUCUUGACUCUUGCAAUUUUCUGUUUUGUGAUAGCCACUGACUCUUUAUCUUUUAAUCCACCCCCAUCUCUGAAAAACCCAAUAGAUGAAGCCAAUCCUAUUAUAUUCCCUACGGGUUCUCCAACUCACUAAUGAAGAUGAAAAAAGGCACAUCCCUGUUAAUACUGCAGUAACAAGUUUCCACUUUAUAUUUAUUAAGUAAUGAUACAGUAAUAUAAUAUAUUUUUAGACAGAAUAAAAUUCUAAAACUGUU